GUCUCCUUAGUUCAGUGGCAGAACGCACCUUCCCACGUCAGGGCGUGAGCGUGAGGUUCAAGAGGCGGAGGUUCGAUUCCUCCAGGAGACA